CUAAGCAAAGGGACUACGUAGCAUAUAUCUAUACAUCUACACACACAGAUCAAGAAUUAAAGAGAAAAGGGUAAACAAAAACUAAAAACAAAGAAAGAGAAAGAGAAAGAGAAUUAAUUAAAAGAAGAUCAGGAAAAGACUAACUAGGUAGCAGGAUAGAGUAAGCAAGUAAUAAUGGAGAGAGAAGAAAACAAGGAAUUCACAAAGUGUACAAAAAAUGUGAAAGGUGAGAAGAUCGGAUGGGACUAGACUGGUCGGGCAAAUUUAAAAACCAGAAAUGGUAUGGUAUAGAUGUAGGUGGAUUGAGAGUGGUGUCC